AGAGCAGGACAAAUGGCCGCUCCGGCACUCAACUGUUAGGAGGUGGUAUAGCCUGUAUAGGGCAGUCUCCAAUGUGCGAGGGCACAUUGUGGGGAGGAAAGUCCGGGCUCCGCAGGACAAGGUGCUGGGUAACGCCCAGUCCCGGCGACGGGCAGGAAAGUGCCACAGAAAGCAGACCGCCCAGCACUCAACUUUAAGGGGAUAUUUGUGGCGUGCGGGAUUCUCCCAAUACUUGGAUAAUCUUGUGAACCACCUGGAUACCCCCUCGGAGUUGAGUGCUGGGUAAGGGUGAAAGGGUGAGGUAAGAGCUCACCAGUCCCAUCGGUGACGAUGGGAGCUAGGUAAACCCCACCUGGAGCAAGACCAAAUAGGGGAACGCUUGAGGGUGGUCCGCCCGAGUUCCCGGGUAGGUCGCUUGACCUCGAUGGCAACAUCGAGGCUAGAUGAAUGGCCAUUGCCCGGCACUCAACUCUCAGGAGACACCAAAUUGGCAGGCGUAAUUACCUUAUGUGAAAUGUAUGUGACACUGCGAAAGUAUCUCCUGAAAGUUGAGUGCCGGGAACAGAACCCGGCUUAUGGACUGCUCUGACA
rnacentral:RNase_P_RNA from 1 species